CCCUCCCUCUUUCUUCAUGCCUAACACAUGCAAGUCGAACGAAGGCUUCGGCCUUAGUGGCGCACGGGUGCGUAACGCGUGGGAAUCUGCCCUUAGGUUCGGAAUAACAGUUAGAAAUGACUGCUAAUACCGGAUGAUGACGUAAGUCCAAAGAUUUAUCGCCUGAGGAUGAGCCCGCGUAGGAUUAGCUAGUUGGUGUGGUAAAGGCGCACCAAGGCGACGAUCCUUAGCUGGUCUGAGAGGAUGAUCAGCCACACUGGGACUGAGACACGGCCCAGACUCCUACGGGAGGCAGCAGUGGGGAAUAUUGGAGAAUGGGCGCAAGCCUGAUCCAGCAAUGCCGCGUGAGUGAUGAAGGCCUUAGGGUUGUAAAGCUCUUUUACCCGUGAUGAUAAUGACAGUAGCGGGAGAAUAAGCCCCGGCUAACUCCGUG
rnacentral:rRNA from 1 species